rnacentral:ncRNA from 1 species
CAUCGUGCGAUGGGGCGAAUAGUUGAUGAACAGGAAGCCGCGUUCCUGGUCGAUCAGGUGGAACAGCGGGUUCCACGCGAACCACGGCAGGAUGAAGCUGGGAAUCAUGUUGGCAACGAAGAACUUGCCCGACGCGAACAUGUUCACGCGCUG